rnacentral:lncRNA from 1 species
GUCUUUUUGUAUAGCUCCCCUGAAACCUUUCAAAUUCAGCAUUGACAUAAAAAUCAAUGUUUCAAGAGAAGCUGUGAUCGAGCGCUUGAAGGCAAUAAUUAAGAAACAAAAAUUCCCAAUGUGUAUCAAAAAAGGCAUGGAAAUCUCCAGUGGAAACAUCACUACAGUGUGUCUCUCAAACUUGAACAAAUCUGAGUGCAGCUGUGAGAAUCAGUACAUCUGGUCCUCUGAUCAAUGCUCUAAACAUGGCGUUUGUGGCUCGAGUCAAAAUAAUACAUGUGGAUGCAUCAAUUCUCUUCCAACUGAUGGAUCAUUCUGUCGUCCACCAAAAGCUCCACUGAAGUUGUUCAGAUACACCAUUGACAUGAAGAUCAAUGCAUCAAGAGAAGCUGUUAUUGACCACUUAAGGUCAGUAAUACGUACACAGAAAUUCCCAAUGUGUAUCAGGAAAGAGAUGAAAAUUUCCAGUGCAAACAUCACUACAGGUAAGAGAAGCAUGAGUGGAGUAAAUCUGUUCUGUUCACAUUACUCUGACAUUGUUAUGGCUUCUCCAUUACUUUGGAACUUGUUGAAUUUGCAGUUUGUCUCUCAAGUUUGAACAAAUCUGAGUCCAGCUGUGAGAAUCAGUACAUCUGGUUUUCUGAACAAUGCUCUAAUCAUGGCAAUCGAACAUGUGGAUGCAUCACUUCUCCUCUAACUGAUGGAUCAUUCUGUCAGCCACAACCAGGUAAAGAUCACAGUCUUUCUGUUGCAUAAUGUGACAACUGGUGUGAUUGUAAAGCAUGUUUUAACUGGGUAAAUAUUCACAUCUUUGACCAAAUUUUCAGCUAAACUGAAGUCGUUUAGAUACACCAUUGACUUGAAAAUCAAUUCUUCAAGAGAGGCUGUGAUCACCCAUUUCAGGGCAUUGAUUAACAGACAAAAAUUCCCAAUGUGUAUCAGGAAAGGGAUGAAAAUCUCCAGUACAAACAUCACUACAGGUAAGAGAAGUAUGAG